AGUGAACGCUGGCGGUAGGCCUAACACAUGCAAGUCGAACGGCAGCACAGUAAGAGCUUGCUCUUACGGGUGGCGAGUGGCGGACGGGUGAGGAAUACAUCGGAAUCUACUUUUUCGUGGGGGAUAACGUAGGGAAACUUACGCUAAUACCGCAUACGACCUACGGGUGAAAGCAGGGGAUCUUCGGACCUUGCGCGAUUGAAUGAGCCGAUGUCGGAUUAGCUAGUUGGCGGGGUAAAGGCCCACCAAGGCGACGAUCCGUAGCUGGUCUGAGAGGAUGAUCAGCCACACUGGAAGUGAGACACGGUCCAGAGUCCUACGGGAGGCAGCAGUGGGGAAUAUUGGACAAUGGGCGCAAGCCUGAUCCAGCCAUACCGCGUGGGUGAAGGAGGCCUUCGGGUUGUAAAGCCCUUUUGUUGGGAAAGAAAAGCAGCAGGUUAAUACCCCGCUGUUCUGACGGUACCCAAAGAAUAAGCACCGGCUAACUUCGUG
rnacentral:rRNA from 1 species